AACGAACGCUGGCGGCAGGCCUAACACAUGCAAGUCGAGCGGACCUUUCGGGGUCAGCGGCGGACGGGUGAGUAACGCGUGGGAAUAUGCCCUUCUCUACGGAAUAGUCCUGGGAAACUGGGGGUAAUACCGUAUACGCCCUUUGGGGGAAAGAUUUAUCGGGGAAGGAUUAGCCCGCGUUGGAUUAGGUAGUUGGUGGGGUAAUGGCCUACCAAGCCGACGAUCCAUAGCUGGUUUGAGAGGAUGAUCAGCCACACUGGGACUGAGACACGGCCCAGACUCCUGCGGGGGGCGGCGGUGGGGAAUCUUAGAAAAUGGGGGCAACCGUGCUCGCGCCAUGCCGGGGGAGGUAUAAAGCCUUGAGGGUUGUAACCCUCUUUCAGCUGGGAAGAUAAUGACGGUCCCAGAAGAAAACGCCCCGGCUAACUCCGGG
rnacentral:rRNA from 1 species